rnacentral:rRNA from 1 species
UGGCCGAUCGCCUUGAGUUGAUAUGGCUCGAGUGAACGCUGGCGGCAGGCCUAACACAUGCAAGUCGAGCGGCAGCGCGGUGUAGCAAUACACUGGCGGCGAGCGGCGGACGGGUGAGGAAUGCAUCGGAAUCUGCCUCUUUGUGGGGGAUAACGUAGGGAAACUUACGCUAAUACCGCAUACGACCUACGGGUGAAAGUGGGGGACCGCAAGGCCUCACGCAGAGAGAUGAGCCGAUGCCGGAUUAGCUAGUUGGCGGGGUAAAGGCCCACCAAGGCGACGAUCCGUAGCUGGUCUGAGAGGAUGAUCAGCCACACUGGAACUGAGACACGGUCCAGACUCCUACGGGAGGCAGCAGUGGGGAAUAUUGGACAAUGGGCGCAAGCCUGAUCCAGCCAUGCCGCGUGUGUGAAGAAGGCCUUCGGGUUGUAAAGCACUUUUGUCUGGGAAGAAAGCCACGGGGUUAAUAGCCUAGUGGGAUGACGGUACCGGAAGAAUAAGCACCGGCUAACUUCGUGCCAGCAGCCGCGGUAAUACGAAGGGUGCAAGCGUUACUCGGAAUUACUGGGCGUAAAGCGUGCGUAGGUGGUUCGUUAAGUCCGAUGUGAAAGCCCUGGGCUCAACCUGGGAAUGGCAUUGGAAACUGGCGAGCUAGAGUGCGGUAGAGGGGUGCGGAAUUCCCGGUGUAGCAGUGAAAUGCGUAGAUAUCGGGAGGAACAUCCGUGGCGAAGGCGGCACCCUGGACCAGCACUGACACUGAGGCACGAAA